GGGCAAACGGGCAGAGCGUCUGCGGCGCUGCGCGGUGAGGUCCGCCCGUCCCGCGCCGCGCUGUUGGCGCGCUGAGCGCUGUGCGGAGCGGGCGCUGCGGCGUCUCGCCCCGAGCGGCACGGCCGCGCUCGGCGUUUCCUGGCUCUCAGCCCGGCGCUGCUUGCGUUGUCCGGAUUCCGGCGCUCACCGCUAUCGCUGGCGAGCCGCAGCGUCGGGCGCUCCGGAAUGGCGCGGGGUGAAGUUAAAGCCAGAAGAGCGUGAGAAUAGCCGGGCUGCCGGAGCCGCAGGAAACGAAGCCGGUGUGCUAGAAGAGAUUGCCGAACGAACCAUUGGAUUUGUUCACGGGCCGUCCCGUAAAGCAGCCGACCUGCGAGUGCUGCUGCCAGCGUGCUUGGGAACGUAGCAACGUACUGUAAAUGUCUAACAAAAACACGUUCUUUGUGGAAAUAAUACAUAAAUGGGAUUUUUUUAGGCCAUGGUUGGAAUUUAGCAAUAGAAGUGGUGGUGCAGCUUCUCCAUCAUAAGCACUUCUCAUGUUCCUACACUUCUGUUGCCCCUUUCUUGUGGGUGCACGAAUUCUCUGCGUGUUUGGUGAAACAAAUUUGACACACGGGCAAAACAGUGGAUGUGUUUCAACAGAAGAACUCCCUGAUCUGGUUCACUUCACAGUCAUGCAAACAGCUGACAACAGAAAGAAAUGCACUUGGAACAGUGUCCUGAAAUUGUCACCACUCCACUGGAUCAGACAUCCAAAAAGAAUGUGAAGAGAAAAAGAGAGUAGCAGCUUGUGCUGCACAAAUGGCAGUAUCCCGGACUGUGAUGGAAACAACAGAAACACGUAACACUUUACUAGGCACAUUCUAAAGAUCAAUCUAAAGGUUGUUUUACUUGUGUUAGCCUGAGAUGGCACUGAACUUGUCAGAACACGUGUGGAACGGGAGAAAGAUCUGCUGAAGAAGCUCAGUGGCUGCUGUUCCUGUGCAGCAGUUAGAGCAAUAGGUUUGUUGACUGAAGCUAAUCUGAGAACAAAAGGUCAGCAUGGGCAUUCUUCCCCUACUAACCAGGUAAUCUUGAAUCAUUCUCUGUAAGCAAGAUCAAAACCCUGUACGAUUGUCACUGUUAUUAAGUAAUGUUUUCCAGCCUGUUGCUUUUUGCAAUUCUAUCAUGUCUAUGUAAUUAGCUUCAGGUGAAUCUGACUAAUUGUGAUUUUUAUUUAUUUUUCUUUUUCCUGGUUGAAAUUUCUGUGGGUACUGGAGUUGCUAACCCAUUACUUAGGUAUUCCAUGAAGUCUGUAAGCCAUAGAGCUGAAUCCUGCACUCCAAAAACACCCUGACUGCGCUCUGAGAUGCAGUUGGUGAAAUGUACCCUUACUGCUGUGGCAGUGGCUGGCAGUGUCCUCCAAGCCUUUGUGUCUCUUUUCAGACAAAAGACUGGGGCUGCAGCCUGACAACACUGCAGAUUUUUGAGCAGUAGUUACAAAAGCGGAAGACUCUCCCCUUCGCUGCUUUACUUACAAGUAGCUGCAUUCCUUGCUGUUAAUGUAAGCUAUGUAAAUAAUAUAAUAACCUACGAUUUGUGACUGAGUGCUUAAUUAACAAAAUAAUCACAGAGUUCCUUUUUUAGAUUAAAUAAAGUCAUGAACUAAUAAAGAAUUGGGACUUACAGCAAAUAGGAA